UACAGAGGGUGCAAGCGUUGUUCGGAAUUAUUGGGCGUAAAGGGCGCGUAGGCGGUGCCACAAGUCACCUGUGAAAUCUCCGGGCUUAACUCGGAGCCUGCAGGCGAAACUGUGGUGCUGGAGUGUGGGAGAGGUGCGUGGAAUUCCCGGUGUAGCGGUGAAAUGCGCAGAUAUCAGGAAGAACACCCGUGGCGAAAGCGGCUCUCUGGAACGGUACUGACGCUGAGACGCGAAAGCGUGGGGAGCGAACAGG
rnacentral:rRNA from 1 species